ensembl:lncRNA
GCACCCCUUUCAUUUAAUGAGUUUUUUUAAUUUUUUAAGUCACUUUGGCUAAAAGCGUCUGCUAAAUGAUUGAAUGUAAAUGCAAGGUCGUUAAAUCAUUAAUUAAUGAGCCCAACCAGGUGAAUCAAAUGACAAAAAUUAUUAGCUAUAUAUGCAACCACAAACCACACCACUGCCGUCACUAUACUUUCAGUAUUGAAUGUGUAGAAAAGGACGGAAGAAAAUAUAAGAUGAUUAAGAGCUACUAGCAAAAAGGCAUGUAAGGCAAAAAAAAUCCAGCUUCCCAGUCCUUGCACGGGUAUAUCCAUAGUGUAACAUCACUUAGACGAGGCACAAAACGCUCCUAUUUUGAGGCGAAGAUCCAGGAAAAGAACAAAAUUAGAAGACUCGUCGUAUUCAAACCGGAACUACACAGCCAAUUUGAACUCAUCAAUGCUCAAAGGAGCCCAGGAUGUCAUCUUCAACUUUAAGUCCUCAAUCACAUGCCUGGAUGAGUUGGACUAUGCCUUUAACUGUAACAUUCUGUCAACUGAGGAAGUACUUCCACUUUGUGAAGUACUUAAAAUUAAGACUCCAUACCAAAGAGUGACAGUGAAAGCAAAGGUAAUUCAGCUACAAAGUCGUGGACACAAUUUUAUUCGUGAUGGCACAUUUCUCCAGAACACGUACUACCUAAUUGCGGAUGAAACCGCAGCAAUGGAUUUGACUGUAUGGGGUGAGAGCAAAAUUACAGUUGACUGCUGGUAUGAGAUCUCGAACGUUUCCAUUCGCACCUUCCAAGAUAAACAGUUUCUAACCACAACCAAAGACACAAACUUCACUAUAGUGACCUGCCAAAAUCCCACUCAUCCUGUGGAGGAGAACACCACCAUCCAAACUGUGACAGCAGAAAUAAUUGGAGCAACAAUAUACAUACUACAUAUUUGUCCUCAACAACACAAAAUCACCAACAUGCCCUUGUCCGCUUCAAGGGUGAAUUGCCAAAAAUGUGACACCUUUUACAGGUCCUCUUCAAUCACCACGUACACGCAUGGAUCGAUCACCAUAAACACCACCAAAGGGGUUCAGACCCUCAACAUCGAGAACCAUUACAUAGAAUCCAUUGUAAGCAUCACACACGACUCCACUACAGACCACAUUAUAGACACUAUACUUGCACUGCCCCCUGUCAACAUAUCCAUAUACAAAAACAACAUAACCAACAUAUCACUCGAAGACACCCGUUCCACACAGACACCAAAGAUCACCAUAACACCCCCUAUGGACACCUCUGAAAGCCUCUAUGGAACCGAUAUGGAGAACCUAAUGGCUGAGGAUUUCUUCACUUCCACCCCAUCAACAUCAACAGCAACCACUACAGCUUCACCAGCCAUCAUACCACACACAAAAUCGCCAACAGCAUUAAGAUCCAGAACCAGUUCCAACCAGAAGCAAUCACCCCAGUGAAGCAUCUAAAUACUCAAAUGUCU